ensembl:lncRNA
GUCGUUGUCGUCGCGGUGGUUACCGUCCUCAUCAAUGGAACAACACCCAACAGCCCACCUGUACUGAAGAGCAACAACUGAACUAUGAACCACACUGGACCCAUGAUACUCAAAACCCGACUGCACAGUCCUGAGCAACAUGUUCUACAUGACUCUGCUUGAACACAAGAGACUGAAUCGAUAACGAUCUCAGGGCUUCAUCUGAAAAUGAUAGUAUUUUCAUCUGUAUGACGCAUUUGGUGAGAUCUUUGAAAUAAACACACUCCAGUCAAGAGGUGGAGUGCAGGGAUACAGGAGAAGGUUGUCUGAGAGUCAACCAAUAUAAAAGGGAAUCAAUACAUUUACUACUGGUAAAUAAAAUGGAGUUUUUGUACAAAGUGUAGAUGAUCAAGAUGGUCUAGAAAAAUGAUUCAGAAUGUUAAGAAGCUUUUGUGAUCAUUUCCACUCAUUGUUUUGUAAGCCUGCCUACUCAACAAAGAUUGACAUGAAAGUGAAGAAGGCUGAUAAAAAGCAUUCUGAACAGCACAAGGAAAAAUGGGAAAAAAAAAAAAAAAAAAAGAGAGAAACAAAUGCACAAAUGCUUUGAAAUAUGCAUGGAGUGAAAAGUUUCUGUCAGUGAAACUGGAAAUCCCAGAUGAGAACUUUACACUGCUUUGAUUGUUCUUAGAAAAACUGAAAAGUUUUUGUAAAGCAGUAGAAAUUCUUUUUGAGAUAGUGUAAGGUCAGUAAAGGAUCAUUAUAAAGUCAGAAAAAAUUAUCAACACAUAAUUCAAUGUCUGUCACUCUGAAUGGUUAAUUCAGGAAAAAUAUUAACUCCAAAAUAUAUCUGUUCUUUGUUGAAGUGGGAGGUUCUUUUUGUUUGUCUGUUUUUGUUUUUUUUGUUUUUUUUUUUUUAAAGACAUCCCAUCUAGGGGAUAACAAAUAAUUGUGUGACAAAGAAUGUUGAGUCUUUUUAGUGACAAACACAAGCCAGAUGCAGCACUCAGGGUAAUGUUCAUUCUCUUCCCUGAUUGACCAAGACCUUAUGACUGACAGCACUUUGAUUUCUGUUUCCUCAAAACAUCUGGUCCCUCAAAAGUUCUGCACAUCCCUGGCAAAGUAUUGUUCCCUAAAAGCCAGCUAUAGAAAACUUGUUCCUCAACACAAAAAGUGAAAAAGUUGCAAUUGAUUCUAAUCCCUCUUCACCAUUACCUUAUGAAAUGAGGUUCCUAAAGAAUCUUUACAUAAGUGAUCUUUCUGCAUUUAUUCAGUGUCUUGAGAGGGCAAAAAAAAAAAAACAAAAAACAAAAAACAAAAAACAACACAUAGUUACUGCUAUCACAAUAUCUGUUCUUGUAUCCAGCUCAAAAUCUUCUUAUUUAAAGAAACAGGAAAGUUUUGGCUAUCCAGAGUUUUUAGUCCAAAUCUUCACAUUUUUAUCACCAAAGAACUGUGUGAUGCCCAAAGAGCAAAUAUGAUUAUUGUUUUACAUUAGUCUAGCAAGAGAAGUUUGUGCUCCAGCAUGCCAGUUUCUGGCUCAGCUCCAGCAUGGUCAACUCUGAAGUUCUUUUUAAGCUGUGAUUUUGAUACUGCAAAAUAAAGUCUUAAUCACUGUUUAUGCUCUUCUGUAAAUUCCCUUCUAAUCAAUUCUGUAGAAUAACUGUACAUGGAGUGUAUAAAAAUAAAAAAUAAAAAAUAAAGAUAGUACAAAAUAAGUCCUAUAUGACAAUUCAACCCUAUGACUGCAGCACGUAUUCCACCUCUGACAGAAACUCAGUUUUUUGUUUGUUUGUUUGUUUUUGUCAAUGUGUAGUGUUUUUUAUUUAAUCGUUUUGUUUGGUUUUUUGGGGGGAAGAGAGGAAAUGACAAGCUGGUCCUUAAAAAAGAUGGUGACCCUUCUUGACAAGGUAUUUUCUAUGUUUUCUCUUGGUCUCUCUCUGUGGUAGUAUUGCUAAAUUGCCAUUUAACUAGAGCUUGCAUUUCAGCAAAUGAGAGCUAGGUUGUUGUGUUUUGUUUUGUUCUGUAUUUUUUUUUUUCAGUACUCUUUGAUUAGGAGAACAAUAUUUUUUUUCCUGAGUUUUCUAACUAAUUGGCAUUUUAACAGUUGGAGGUCUUAGCUGAGACUCAUUUCUUAUUUAUUCUAUACAAGGAAAAAUAGCAUGGCAAAUGUUUGGCCUAAAUAGAUAUGACUUUAAAGAAAAUAACAACAGGGUGGAAUUGUCAUAGUCACGUAGCCAGCAGUUACACAGUCAUGAAGAGAGCCCUGACACAAUCAACAUAAGACAUUAGGCUUUCUUUCUACUUCAGUGAUUUGCUACUUAAAUCAUAAAGCUUAGUUUAAUUUAGUGUCUUGUACACAACAUCUUUUCUACAUCAGAAUUUUCCAUAUGAAGAACUAGUAAGAAGAAAUUGUGAACCUUCUUGCACAUACCUAAUGAGAUUUAACACUCCAGAUUUGGUCUAACUUCACCUCUAGGGUUCAGUUUUCACAGCCAUGAUUUUAUUGAAGGGUAAGAAAGGGUUCUGUAAGAAAGGGUCUGCAGAAACUAAGGGUAAAAGAGAAUUAGAAAUAGUUUACAGAAACAAAUAUGCAGAGGCCACUAGAAGAAUGGGAUAGUAACAAGAUGGGAUUAGGACAAUGCCGGGGUAGAAGAGAUAAAGAUGAGGGUCCGAAAACGGCUCAAAGACACCAGGCAAGGAGGUGACAAGAUGUCCCCAGAAUAAGUUAGAACUGGUUCGGGGGCUACCCCCCCUCAGGGUCAGAAGUUUACAGCAAGGAAGACUACGAGCCUUCGCGAGGAAGACUAUGAGCCUUCAUUCAAUGACCACCAAGAGGAGACCCGCACUGCUCAUGACGCAUGUGUGAGGGGGAGGGACUGUAUGCUAAGGAGUUCUCGGAAAUGUAAUGAAUAUGUAUACGAAUUCUGGGAAAAAUAUUGAUUAUGUAUUAGUUCUGCCUAUAUCUAUACCAAGUUUUUGUCCUGAUGGCAUGCAAGUUAGGAGGAGCUAUCCCCCUUGCAUCCGGCUCUGUGCAGCGUUGAUUAAAACG